GGGGAUUUAGCUCAGUGGUAGAGCGUUUGCCUAGCAAGCGCAAGGCCCUGGGUUCGGUCCCCAGCUUCA
rnacentral:tRNA from 1 species